ACCGGCAGCUCAAGUGGUGGCCAUUUUUAUUGGGCCUAAAGCGUUCGUAGCCGGUUUGAUAAGUCUCUGGUGAAAUCCCGCAGCUUAACUGUGGGACUUGCUGGAGAUACUAUUAGACUUGAGGUCGGGAGAGGUUAGGGGUACUCCCAGGGUAGGGGUGAAAGCGUAAAAUCCUGGGAGGUCAACCAGUGGAGACGGCGCCUAACUGGAACGAACCUGACUUUGAGUAGUGAUAGCCAGUGGCGCAAACAG
rnacentral:rRNA from 1 species